rnacentral:pre_miRNA from 1 species
AUUAUACUCCCUCCGUUCGAAAAUACUUGUCAUCAAAAUGGACAAAAGGGAUGUAUCUAAAACUAAAAUACAUCUAAAUACAUCCCUUUUAUCCAUUUUGAUGACAAGUAUUUCCGGACGGAGGGAGUAUAUA